AUGGAAAACUGCAAGCGUGGAGAUUAAGUGUCCCGCUGCUGAUGGCUGUCUUUGUUAUAUAUGACGCCGGAGUGAGGCUGUUGAUUCAUGGGGGCCUCUGUGUAGGAUGUCCAAGUGUUUGACACAGCCUUUUGCCGCUCCACCAUUAUGGCUGUCUUCAUCGCAGGAGCCAGAGAGUUGGAGAUAUGUGAAUGAAAAAAAGGAACGUAGAGAACACCUGCUGGAAACUGCUGAUUGAGGGGAAGCGUGUUCCUGUCCAGUGCAGUGAUCUCUGCCAAAGGAUGGUCGGUGCAGCAGAGACCACCUACCCCUGUGAGAGAGAGGGGAACAGGUUAUCAGGUUCCAGGUGCAGGACAGCCUGAAGAGGAUAUGAUGUAACCGGUCCAGGCUUCUCUCUGCUUUCUCUGUUAGCAUUGUGGGUCAUGGCAGGAGUCCCUUCCUGUUCAAGGGUGUCAGCCACACAACGGGAUGAUGAGGAUACCAUCCAGGACACUCUGGGGAGGACUUUAAAGACCAGAGACAAGUGAGGACAUGAGAGAGGCCACGGACAUGGCAGAGAGUGUUUGCUUUGCUGUGGAUGUGAGCUAUGUGAGGAUCCGUCUGUAUAUUUAUCUUUUUAUGGUGACUGGCUGGAACAAGACUCAGUAGAGGAACCCCUGACAUGGGUUCACCACGCUGCUGCCCCAGAGUAUCAGAGAGCAACAUGUAAACAAUCUAUAUUUUUAACUACACCUUCAAAGCAUGUGACCUAUUGCUUCUUCCAAUUUUCUGAGCACAUGACCUCACAGAUUUGUUUACAUGAUGAUUAGCAUGGUCUGCUCUGUGAGUAAUUUCAAAGAAAGACUAAUUUGUGUGAUCCUUCAGCAGGAGAAAUCACACGGGGUGUUUGGGAGCAGUUUGUCAAAGAUAAGAGUCAUGCGGUGAUAAUGAAACAAAGAAAGCAUUUACAGAUUUCUAUGGAAGCAUAGAAGUAAAACAGAAUGCUCUAAACGUAUCCAAAUUUCAGUGUGAGGUCAGUCAAAGAAAAUCAUUUUUUCCUGCACUUGCCUGAUAGACAGAGGAGGGAUGGGCCUUUGAUUUGUUUGCUGCAUUUGGACAAACCUGAAGAACAGGGAAGAAGGCCCAUGGCUGACUGUCCAAGCUGUGAAACAGUGAAUACAAUCAAAUACACUGCAUGUUCAGGGUUACUUCUGCCAUUACUCUGUCAUAAUAAUCAUGCAGAUUGGCCGUUGAUAUGUUGCAUCCACCCUUUCGCUUUUUGUUUCUUCCUGGUGGAAUCCCCCUCUUUGUAAGGUCGUCCCUUCCAGACCGCCGUCAUCACGUCAGGGUCUUUAUC